ACUAUUUUGGCAGAUAAUAUGCACUAAAUUUAGGAUUUAAUUAUAUAGGAAUCUAUAAAUAGUA
rnacentral:tRNA from 1 species